UACGUAGGGUGCAAGCGUUGUCCGGAAUUAUUGGGCGUAAAGAGCUCGUAGGCGGUUUGUCGCGUCGGCUGUGAAAACCCGAGGCUCAACCUCGGGCCUGCAGUCGAUACGGGCAAACUAGAGUGUGGUAGGGGAGACUGGAAUUCCUGGUGUAGCGGUGAAAUGCGCAGAUAUCAGGAGGAACACCGGCGGCGAAGGCGGGUCUCUGGGCAUUAACUGACGCUGAGGAGCGAAAGCAUGGGGAGCGAACAGG
rnacentral:rRNA from 1 species